UACGAAGGGGGCUAGCGUUGUUCGGAUUUACUGGGCGUAAAGCGCACGUAGGCGGUUUGUUAAGUCAGGGGUGAAAUCCCAGAGCUCAACUCUGGAACUGCCUUCGAUACUGGAAGUCUUGAGUCCGGGAGAGGUGAGUGGAACUCCGAGUGUAGAGGUGAAAUUCGUAGAUAUUCGGAAGAACACCAGUGGCGAAGGCGGCUCACUGGCCCGGUACUGACGCUGAGAUACGAAAGCGUGGGGAGCAAACAGG
rnacentral:rRNA from 1 species